UACGUAGGUGGCAAACGUUGUUCGGAAUUAUUGGGCGUAAAGGGCGCGUAGGCGGUUUGUUAAGUCGGAUGUGAAAGCCCUGGGCUUAACCUAGGAAGUGCAUUCGAAACUGUUGGGCUUGAGUUCUGGAGAGGAAGGCGGAAUUCUCGGUGUAGAGGUGAAAUUCGUAGAUAUCGAGAGGAACACCGGUGGCGAAGGCGGCCUUCUGGACAGUGACUGACGCUGAGACGCGAAAGCGUGGGGAGCAAACAGG
rnacentral:rRNA from 1 species